rnacentral:rRNA from 1 species
UACGGGGGGGGGCAAGCGUUUGUUCGGAAUUACUGGGCGUAAAGGGCUCGUAGGUGGCCAACUAAGUCAGACGUGAAAUCCCUCGGCUUAACCGGGGAACUGCGUCUGAUACUGGAUGGCUUGAGUUCGGGAGAGGGAUGCGGAAUUCCAGGUGUAGCGGUGAAAUGCGUAGAUAUCUGGAGGAACACCGGUGGCGAAGGCGGCAUCCUGGACCGACACUGACACUGAGGAGCGAAAGCCAGGGGAGCAAACAGG